CGCGUAGGUGGUUUGUUAAGCGAGAUGUGAAAGCCCCGGGCUUAACCUGGGAACGGCAUUUCGAACUGGCAGGCUAGAGUGUGGUAGAGGGUAGUGGAGUUUCCUGUGUAGCGGUGAAAUGCGUAGAUAUAGGAAGGAACACCAGUGGCGAAGGCGGCUACCUGGACCAACACUGACACUGAGGUGCGAAAGCGUGGGGAGCAAACA
rnacentral:rRNA from 1 species